CCCCAAGCGCCAACAUUUUCGAUUCAGCUGAAAGACCAGUAGGAAACUAUCCCGUUGCUUGGAAGAGCGCAGUGAGGAGCUCUCCGUCAACAAAAUUUAGGGCGACCGUCCGGCGACUGCAGUCCAAGCUAGCAAGAUGCCAGCGGACCAUCAAACGGUUGCAGAAGAAGCAGAGCAAGCUACCGCCAUCCAUUUCGAAGGCACUGGGCAUUAUUCGUCCAUCAGUGACAGAGGAGGUUUUUAAGCUUUUGUGUACACACCUGCGAUUGCAGCAGAGGGGAAAAGGCAAGCGCUUCCCUAUCUGGCUCAAAAAGUUUGCCUUGCAUUUGAACUUCCGUGGACCCCGUGCAUACCGUUUUUUGGCACCAAUUUUCUCUUUGCCAACACAGCGUACUCUGAGACGCUGGUUGUGCAACUUUAGGAUGUCACCAGGAGUGAUUCCCGGAAUUAUUCAAAGUAUUUCUGCUAGCACUCACGCAUGGAAUGAGCGCGACCGAGUAUGCACCCUCAUGUUUGAUGAAAUAGCUUUGAAAAAGAACUUAUCCUAUGAUGCCGGUGAAGAUAUUGUGCAUGGGUUUGCAGAUGAUGGCAUCGAGCGGUCAUCAAGUAUUGCCGACAGAGCCAUGGUUGUGCUUCUGGCAGGUAUAUCUAAGAGGUGGGUUCAGCCAGUCGCAUUUACGAUAGGGCAUGUUUUGACAUCGGCAAAUGUUAUUGAUAAAUUACUAAUCUCGAUUAUUGAGCAACUUAAAGCCGUCAGAAUUGUUGUCAAAGCGGUAAUCUGUGACCAAGGCACGUCAAAUGUCAGCUUGGCGCAUAAAUUGGGCAUCACGAUUGGGAAACCAUAUUUUGAAGUUCUAGGCGAGAGAGUUUAUUUUAUUUUUGAUGUACCUCAUUUGAUCAAAACGACCCGCAACAAUCUCCAAGCACAUGAGUUGCUCAUUGGGAAAGAAGUUGUGAAUUGGUCGCAUAUUGAACAACUGUACAAAUCCACACAUGAACUAAGGUUACGAUUGGCUCCAAAGCUAACAGAGCGGCACAUAUACCAAAGGCCAUUUUGUAACAUGAAAGUCAGCAGAGCUGUACAAGUCCUGAGCUCAUCAGUUAGUAUUGCAAUUAUGACAUUGGUUUAUGUAAAUGAGCUUUCCUCUUCAGCUGUAGCUACAGCAAACUUUUGUGACCGUAUGGAUAAGCUAUUCGACACAUUGAACAGCUCCAGCCCCCAUAGGAAUGCUCAGAAAUACAGAUAUGCCAUAAAAAAGGGGCAAAAUGAAUUAAUUAAAUUUCUGAAAGAACA